AACGAACGCUGGCGGCAGGCUUAACACAUGCAAGUCGAACGCAUCCUUCGGGGUGAGUGGCAGACGGGUGAGUAACGCGUGGGAACGUGCCCUUCAGUUCGGGAUAACCCAGGGAAACUUGGGCUAAUACCGGAUACGUGCGAGAGCAGAAAGAUUUAUCGCUGAAGGAUCGGCCCGCGUCUGAUUAGCUAGUUGGUGGGGUAAUGGCCCACCAAGGCGACGAUCAGUAACUGGUCUGGGAGGAUGAUCAGCCACAUUGGGACUGAGACACGGCCCAAACUCCUACGGGAGGCAGCAGUGGGGAAUAUUGGACAAUGGGCGCAAGCCUGAUCCAGCCAUGCCGCGUGAGUGAUGAAGGCCUUAGGGUUGUAAAGCUCUUUCGUCCGGGACGAUAAUGACGGUACCGGAAGAAGAAGCCACGGCUAACUACGUGCCAGCCGCCGCUGUAA
rnacentral:rRNA from 1 species